rnacentral:sRNA from 1 species
UUGUAAAACAGUGGAUUAAGGUACUAGGACCUACCUACUGUAAGUGAAGUUUUGUUUUUCAAAGUCCUUUGAUUUGAGUGUGAUCUAUACAUGUGAAAACUCGGAUUUAUCUAACCCUUGUAAACUGUUGAUAACACAUAAGGAUUCUUUGCAUAUUCUUAGCAUUGACCGGUUUGGGAAAGCUUUGUUGGAAGCAUGGUUGUAAGAGAGGUCAG